GAACCUGCAAGACAGAAAGUGUGGUUGCUGUUUAGUCACUAAAUCAUGUCUGAUUCUUUGCAACCCGAUGGACUAUAGCCCACCAAGCUCCUCUGUCCAUGGGAUUUCCUAAACAAGAAUACUGGAGUGGGUUGCCAUUCUCUUCUCCAGGGGAUCUCCCUGACCCAGGGAUCAAACCCGUGUCUCCUCCAUUGGCAGGUGGAUUCUUUACCACUGAGCCACCAGGAAAGCCCAACACAGAAAGUGAGGGGCUUUUAUUCAUCUUUAGUGGGGUAGAUCAGAUGCUGAGCCAUUGCCCCACUCACCCUGUUCCUGCCUCCUCUGACCCCAGCAGGACUGCUCUGAGGACCAGGUUGGAGCCAGCAGGCUCACAUGGGGGUGUUUGGGGCCAGAAGGCAGCCUGGCAUUCUUUGUCUUUGUAAACACAGGCAAAGUGUUUGUUGGUUCUCUUGGAGGAAACUGACUAAUGAUGUGACUGCCUCUAGUUCAUGUUUUUUUUUUUUUUUUGGCUGUGCCUUGUGGCUUGCAGGAUCUUAGUUCCCCAAGUAGGGAUCAAACCUGGAUCUCAGGUAUUGGAAGUUCAGAGUUCUAACCACUGGACUGCCAGGUAAUUCCCUAGGUGACCAUUUUGACCUUGUGACCUAAUUGCUUAGAAAUUGGCCCAGGAUUUGAGCACAGGCUGUGGGUGUGCAGAACGCUGGCCUGGAGCAGCCCAUCGCGAGCCAGGGGGUGUGUUUAGAACAGACAAGGGGUGAGCCUGAGUCAGGAGCUGUGGACACAGCCACCUGUCACCAGGUGCCCACUGGGUCAGGACGGUGAGGGAACAAACUACAGAGAAAAGGGGCUAGAGGGUCCUGGGGCAGAGGGCAGUGUGGCUGGCAGGACCCCUGAGAGGAGGGCCCCCCAUAACCAGGCUUUCACUGUGCCCCAGCCUGCAGCAUCAGACCAUCUCUGCCUUCCCAUUCCUGCAGGAACCCCUGCCUGAUGGGGACCCAAGCACACAGCAUGGCUCUUCCCAAGCUCCAGAAUGCUCAGAGUCACCCAGUUACAGGGGACCCUGAUGGUCCUGUGACUUCCCCCUUAAGUCCUUGAGAUAAGCUCCAGGGUCCAACUGAGGCCCAGAACUGCCAGAGUAAGUCCACCCCAGCCCAUAUGGGAGCUGCCAUGGGUUUUAGAGCUGGCUCAGGGCCCCGCCUGGGAGAAGCCACAGGUGCAUUCAUUGUGCUAAACGUAGAAUCAAUAAAGACAAGAUUCUGGAGUGUUUACCCAGCCUCCAGGGACCCAGGGUUAUCAUUCUGUGGUGCAGCUGGUACAAACAUAACCCAGAGUUUUCAUGGCCAGAUCAGCCGGGGAACUCAUUUCCUGUUCAUCAUCUCACCAGCCCAGCCAGUCUGCUGCCAUGGCCCCUUGGGGGUCUGUGUCCCCGAUGCCAUCCAUCCUGGCCCCAUGCCCUCUCUUCCUCCUGCCUUCCUGGCCCACCUCAGCUGGAAGUUGGAUGUCAUCUGGACUCUGCCCUCUCUCUCAGUUCCCACAUCCCAUCAGUUCCGCUACCCACCCAAGCCCCUUGGAGCCCCCUGCUGCUCCAGGACUGCAUCACAUGCCACCCACAUAUUCCGCCUCUUCCUCAUCAGGCCAUCCUCCACAGGAUGGCUGGAGGGACUCUGAUCUGAUCAGGUUGCAGACGCCUCAGCCCCACAGAAGCCUCGCUCAGCCCCUGUUGGGCAUUGCAUCUCCCCAGCCAGGCCCUCCCCUGUCUGUGGCCCCAGCCCUCUUUGUGUUCACCUCCCAGCCUCCAGAUGUGAUUUCCUGCCCAUGCCCUGCUGUUUCCUCUGCCCGUCAUCUAGUUCAUCUCCUGUCUUCUAAGACUCGGCUUAAAGAUCACCUCCUCGGGUCCUUCUGUGCCCCCGGCUAGGUGGCUCCGUUAGCUCCACUGGGGGCUCCUGUGCCCCCUGUGCAUGGCCUGCUUUCUGCAGUUCUAGAUCAUGACUGCAUGUGAGAUGAGGUUGCCACCUUGCGGAACUGGGGGCUCCUUGAGAGACGGAGCUGCCCUGAGGGUGCCAGGGCCCCUGGAGCUGCGCCAACAGGAGCUCAGGAAACGAGUGAGUAAAUGCAGAUCAACCUGCCUCACGGUCUAAGGAGGGGGAAGUUUCCGUCACCCAGUUGCUGUCCUGCAGCCACCGUCUGACAUGAGGGUGAGGCGCUCUCCCCAGAACAGAGCUUCCUGUUGAAAGAUAAACUUAAGCUGGUGGUAGUGUCUGGUUCUAUAGGAUGCGUUUCACCAAGAUCUUUACUUCCUUUAGAGAAAAUCGCUUUGAAGCAAACACUGGAAGGUUACGUUUCAAAGCAGGUUUGUCUACCCAAACCACAGCCAUCUGACUAGGAGCCUCUCAGGUGUAAGCAACGGGGCUCCCUGUGGUGAGGCCAGAGAGCCGGCCUCAGUGUCCCGCGCCCACCCACCCCCCACCACCCCUGCCACCCCCCACCCCCCGCCAGCUGCUGUGGGGCCUGGAGCCUCGGACUCAGCCAGUGGCUUUCACCAGCUGCCCCACAUCCAGCCCAAAUCCUGGCCUCUGUAGGCCAGACCCCGGGUUGGGGAUGUCCUCACCGUGAUGGCCUCAGCUAUUUCAGUGGGCCUGUGAACUUGGGCCAGACUGGUGGGCUUAGGGCCCCAAGACCAACUUUGUAACGACAGUGGUUGAAACUGGAGGGUUUGCUGCAAGCCUGCUGACCCUCUGUGCUGUGGUCUCCUCUAACCACCCCCAGCAGAGCAGUGUUACCUCUGUGACUCAGGCUUGGAGAGGCUGGUGGCCCAGGCAGGCCACAUCUGCCAUCUUGACACACUCACUUGUUCUUUAUUUAAAUCCUAGCAGUUUCAUGUGAGUUUAACCUGGAAUUGGGUUGACAGCCCACUCACGUGCCCAUGUAGCCUGAUGGGUUUGCCCCCACCACCUCUGGCACACAGCGUGUACACAGACUGGCACACUUCAUUGUGUGGAGUCUGCCAACUUCAGACUGGCUGGAGCGAGAGCUACAGGAGAGGACAUGGCCCAGAGGAAGAGCCUGCAGGUCCUGUUCCUAUGGCUGGGGAGGGUGCAGGGAUUGUCCAGAGAUACCCCAGCUGCCAGCAGCACCUGUGGUUGGUACCAAGGUGCUGAGGGUAAGGGUCCAGGCCAGACACCUGGGGACCCCAGGACAUUGGCCCAGUGUCACAGAGCAGGCCUCCUCCCCUGCCUCCCUCCCCUCUUUCUGUAGCCUGAGGUCAUCAGCCCAGCCCAACCAACACCAUCUUCCCCUGAGCACCGCCCCAUCCAGCACCACCAGUCUCAGACCACAAGCCCCAGACCCACAGUCUGCACAGUAGUCAGUGGAGCUUUGGAAACAAUCUGAUUAUGUUCUCCCAGUGGUGGUCUCAUUGUCUCAGGGACAAAGUCCAGUCUCCCAGUCUCUGUCUAGGGGUCCUCUAUGCCCCUGCCCUCCCUGGCCAGGUACAUGCAGCCUCGCUUCAUAAAAGGCUUCCUGAGAGAAAUGGUUUAACCUUCUGUUCUGUGUGGCUCAUCCCCAACACUGGCUGGGAUAGGGCUAUUGGGUGGGGGGUGGGUAUCCCCCUGCAGCUUCCUUGGGUCCUCCUCACUCCUGCUGUGGCCACAGGAACACUUCUGGGCAAGUUCCCUCCCUAGCCUCGCUUGAGUGGUAGGUGUGACCUUUCUGCCUCCCCUGGAUUGGUCAUAGGAAUGUUUUUGUCCCCAUUCAGGCAUCGAUGGGCUGGCAGCCCAGAGAACUACGGUGCUUCUCCAAGAUGGGGUAGAUCCAAGCACCCCGGCCCUUCACAGCUCCCCUGGGUCCUGUUUCCAGAAUGCCCCCCACCUCCCCCUCCCACAGUGUCCUGGGCAGAGGGAACCUCAGGUGCUGCCCCCCUGCCCUGUGGCCGCUCACAGUCCCUGCCUCCAGGCAUGGGAGCUGCUGACGCAGUUGACACAGAAGGGAUUGCCACCAAUGGAGCCAGUUUCUAAAGCUUUGUGGUUAAUUAUUUUGUCUCAGUGAAAUGAAAGGAGGGUAAACAAACAACAACACAUUAAUUAGUCUGAUCUACACUUUCCCCACCAAAGAGAAGAGCGAAGUUAAACACUGGAGGCUGGCAGCUUCUCAGGGAGCCCGAGAGUCCUCAGCAGGCUGGAGGGCAGGAUGGCGGGGCACGGGUGUCCAGUCUGUGCCCCCGGCCAGAGUUCUUUCUCCCAGGGAGAACACCCAUCCCUCCUCCCUGCCCAGAUCUCUGCUUCUGUGUCCUGGGGUUGGCACCUCUGCCAAGCAAAGUCCACUGUGGCCAUUUCUGAUGGAGCUGAUGGAUCCCUCAAAGGCCCUGUGUGCUGAGCUGUGGCCAGCCAAGCACACGGCAGGGUUGCUUUUUUGAGGUUUCUGUUUUAAAGCCAACAGUCACUCCCAGGAUUAUCCCUAUUGUGAAUCCUGGUGUGUGGCUUCCAGGGUAGCUUGGGAUGACCUCUUCCCUAAAACUAGUGUUUCCAGAACUCACCUGGCGUACCAGACACCCUCAGGUCCUCGUAGUCACUUCUGAGCUCUAGGCUCAGGAAGGGGUCUACACAGCUCCCAAGGGAGGGCUCCCAGGACUCAAAACACUCUGUUUUAGAAGCAGAGAACCCCUGACUCGCUUCCUCACCCCUGGCUGCAUUGCUCAACGUUCAGCACGGGCUCAAGGGUCAGGCUGACCUGAUUGAAAUCCUGGCACUGGAAUCAGGCUCUGUCUCAUCGUGGGAGUACGAUACCUGCCUCCCAGGACCAUCCUGAGGAUUAGAGGGGUCACGUGGCUCACAGGGCUGACCCUGCUUCCUUUCUACCUUCCCCUGCUCUUUGCAGGACCUCCCUGACCACCCUUCCCCUGACGCUGGCCCCUGUGCACCCUGUUUGCUCUCCUUGACCUGUAAACUCAGUGGAGUUUGCAGACAAGACAAGCUGGUUCUGUGUGCUGUUCUGUGGGAAGCCUGAACUCACCUGUUGAACUUGUAGGCCCCACACUGACCUGCAGUGCCUUCGGAUCCUCAGAGGUGUCCUUCACUAACUUGUUCCUCCCACCGUGGUGAGGACUAGACUGGGUCUGAUUGUGACAAGGAGACUGGGCUGUGGAGCCAGGAUGGACAAAGGAGCAGAGAACUCCACAGUUUGCAGGUGAGAGAGGAAGAGGUGACUGGGCAGGACCUGGGAGGUCACGGGCCCAGCCACUCCCAGGCAGGCAACGCCUGGGCCAUGGACUGCCAGCAGCUGCUCCUGCAGGUGACUGAUGAUCUGCGGUGAUGUGUCACCAUGGAGACCCCUGGUUGCUAACCUGUGACCUACAGCCACCACAGCAUGAGGAAUGGGGCCUCAGACUGCUCAGAGGCCUGAGCUCCAUCAAAGUCACUGUGCUCAGGGCUCCAGGGCUGACUGAUCUGCCAUCCCCCUGGGGAGGGCAUCCUCAGGAAUAGGGCCUGGUCCUAUUUGGGUGAAGAUGCAGGGAAUAGGAGGGUAGAGAGACAGGUCCCUGACAGCCCUUGUAGGCGAGCCGCAAUGGACAGCUCUGGCACCGGCACCGAGAUGCUAGCCCACUUCCAGCUUCCUGGGAAGUGGACCUAGCAUGUGUGCUGGCCCCCACGUUGAGCUGCACAGAGGCCCACGGGGUCCAGGAGUGCUGACUUUGAAUUACAUUUCUCCUGAGGUGCGAAAGUGAGUAAGCCAGAUCAGUUCUGCUGGUGAAGGCAAGCCCUGCUCCCUCUGAGGAAGCCCACGCCAUCUUCUGGGAUCUCUAAGCCUUGCUCUGGGAACUUCUGGGGAUUCAAUGAGGGUCAGGUGUUGCCCAUGUAGGGCUAGUCUGGACCCAGGCCCUCCCUCACUUCCAUCUGGUCCUCAUGCCUGCUGAGCGCUCUUCCUGGCAGCAGGGCUGAGAGUACUGGAGCAGUGGGAUCUCCUCUUAUCCUCAUCAUGUCCACAGGCUCAUGUCUAGCAGGAGCUGGGCCAAGCCCCAGGUUUCCUCAAGGAAGGUGGAGAAGACUGCUCCAAUACAAUUAUCAAAAUGUGCUCGCCUAGCUGGCAGCGCUGAGAUCGGGGCGGCCCAUUUCUGCCUGGAUGCCUGCUGGGAGGGGUUGGCAUGGCAACAUGAGCUCUGAGCUGCUGAAACUUGGAGUCAGCUCGUGGCUGGGAGGACACAAAGAACGACGGAAGAGGAUGCCUUCCCGAGUGAAGCAGGGUCUGCUCCACUUGGCUUUGACUGGACAGGACUGGAGCAGGCAGUUGUGACUACUGGAGAGACCAUGUACGAACAGCCAAGCAUCUGGAUGGGGCUGGACCUCUUACUUCAAGAGCUCUGAGCCUCCUGUGUGCUGAGGUCUGCGCCUGAGCCUCACCUGGCAAGUGGCCGGAAGCUGGGGAUCCUGGAACUCCCCAGCAGGUCACGUCACCUGCAUCAGAAGCCCCUCAUACCUGAGGAGGCGCCGCUGGGAGCUUCUCGUCUUUCUGGCAGAAGAGGGAGCACUCACUUCGGAGUCAAGGACCUGAAAAGAAAUGAGCGGUUCACAGAAGUGCCCGGAACUCAACAGUCAGCGAGCAGCCCAGUACAGGCCCCUAGACCACAGACCAGCACCUGGGAUGACCCCUGAUGGACGUGCUGCUCCAAGUGAGACCACGUGCCCAGACACACGGAGCUUGGUCCGGGUUCCUGGAUACCUCUUCCUGUCCUGAGACACAGCCUGCCUGGGCAGCAGAACCAACUGUGGAGUUGGAUAGACCUGCUCCCAAGACCAAAUAGCUGAAACAGGAGGGCCCUACGUGGCAGUCCCUGGGAUGAAAAAAACGUGUGUCAAAGCUGCUGCCGAGUCCUUCUCUAUUUUUACCUUCCUCACACUACCUCUUUGAGCCUGGAGGAGGCAUCCUGGCCUGAGGUGGCCCGAGCUGGCGUCUCUGAGGCAGAUUCAGCCAGCCCUCAGCUCGUUCUCCAGAAACCACCACCAAAAAGCCAGAUUAGGUUGAAAUUUUGGUCCCCACUUUGUUCCCGACUGCCAGCCCAGCUGACCACCAGGGAGUGAUCCAAGACCCUUCUCUGCAAGCUCACAGAGGUGGUGGCCACUAAGAGCCAACAAUGUUCCGCAGACUCCUACCCCAGCCUCCCUUUGCUGCAGAAGCCUGCCUUCUAGACCCCUCUGCAAGGAAGAACACUCCCCACCCACACCGGGGCCGGCUAGUGACUUUCCUCUGAUCCAUCAAGCUCCUCUUUAGGACUGUGCUUCCCCAGCUGCUCUCACAGGUGGAUCAUUCACCCCGGCUUCCCUCAGCCCCAAGGCUGGGCCAGCACCCUGAAGGAUACGUCACUGGAUCCUCCUAAGUGGAGGAGAGAAGAUCCCCAUUUUUACAGAAUGCCUGUGACUGAAUGGGCUGAGGCCCUUGAGGAACUCUCAGAACACCUAGGGGCUUCACUCUGCAGGGAGUGCCAGUCCUGGGAUGAGGGGCAGCAGGCCAUCCCUGGCCUGGUUACCGUGUUUCCUCCUGGAGUACCCACGACCACAGCUCAGCAGAUGCAGGGGACCACGUGGUUCCCAAGACUGCCUCCCUCAUGAAAGGAGACGCGCAAAGUCAUUCUGUCUGGGAUGCCUUAUGUUCCUCUUUCAUCAGGAGGAGCCAAGCUACACUCAGAAGAAAAUAGUGACUUGGAGGAAAACAUGUAGCCUGAAAGGCCUUUUCCUCUUUCGGAAAUAUAGCGGGUCGGAGAUGACCAGGGACCCUCCCCCGUGCUCCACAUAGCAGAUGCCUCAGAGUCCAGUUUCCAAGCACUGGCUGGUGCAUUUACCCCGAGUAACGAUGAUGGUGAUGGUGGUGGUGGUGAUGAAGCACACAGCCUUAUUCCUCAAACAAGGAUAAUGACAACAAUGAUAAAGGCAGCAGCAGAGCGUCAAAGAGAGAACAGACUUUGGAGUCAGACUGCCUGGGUCCAAAGGCCAGCUCCACCUCUCACUGGCCGUGGGAAACUGGAGGUUGCUUGACUUCUUUGUGCCAGGCUCCCUCAUCUAUAAAAUGGGGCUCAGUGCCUAAUUAUGGGAUGUGUUUAGAUGGGUGCCUGACACGUGCUAGCGUUCUUACCAGCUAUGGCUCUUCUUAUUUUAUUGAUAUCAUUGCUGUAGGCACAAGGCCUUUUCAUGUACUAUAUCAUUUGACUCUCACAAUCCUAUAAGGGAGAAGAUAUUAUUAUUGUU